UACAGAGGAUGCAAGCGUUAUCCGGAAUGAUUGGGCGUAAAGCAUCCGUAGCCGGUUCUACAAGUCUUCCGUUAAAUCCACCUGCUUAACAGAUGGGCUGCGGAAGAUACUAUGGAGCUAGGAGGCGGGAGAGGCAAGCGGUACUCGAUGGGUAGGGGUAAAAUCCGUUGAUCCAUUGAAGACCACCAGUGGCGAAGGCGGCUUGCCAGAACGCGCUCGACGGUGAGGGAUGAAAGCUGGGGGAGCAAACCGG
rnacentral:rRNA from 1 species